rnacentral:rRNA from 1 species
CCCGUCUUGAAACACGGACCAAGGAGUCUAACAUGUGCGCAAGUCAUUGAGUGUGACUAAACUCAGAGGCGUAAUGAAAGUGAAGGUUCGAUGCAGGACGAACUUUGAGGGGAGAUCCGGACCUCGCCCAGAGGCCGGCGCAUCCCCGGGGCGCCUCGACUUCGGUGAGGGCGCACCCAGAGCGCACACGUUGGGACCCGAAAGAUGGUGAACUAUGCCUGGCCAGGGUGAAGCCAGGGGAAACCCUGGUGGAGGCCCGUAGCGGUUCUGACGUGCAAAUCGAUCGUCUGAGCUGGGUAUAGGGGCGAAAGACUAAUCGAACUAUCUAGUAGCUGGUUCCU